GCGGGCGUGGCGGAAUUGGCAGACGCACCAGGUUUAGGUCCUGGCGGGGCGACCUGUGGGAGUUCGAGUCUCCCCGCCCGCACCA
rnacentral:tRNA from 1 species